AGUUUUCUGGAGUAUUUGACUUACCAAGCUGAAUCUCUAGCAGAGAAGACGAAGAGCAGGGCCAACAGGCCAAAAGUAACCUUUACCACAAACAUUGUGUCGAAAGACCUAUGGAAAGAACCAUGGCACAGCUGUUUAGGCAGAAUGCCUCAAAUGAAGGGUCACUGGGCAAAAGCAGAGAAACACCCUGGACAGGUGACCAGUCCAUCACAGGGCUCACAUUAUAAUAUGUCAUAGCAAAAGUUUUACUUUGGCUUUUAAACUUGAUUAAACAGGACAUGCAAACACUGUAUGUAAAAAAAGUAACAGCAUAACACUGAUAUGCAACAUAACUUCUCAUUAAUUCUUUGUGUUACUGUAAUACUUUAGACCCACAAGGAAGAUGCAAUGUGAAUAUCUGAUAAAAUGGAACACAACACAUUUUUAAUCUAAAUUAUAAUCACAUACAUGUAUGAUCAUUAUAAACCUGUGCCGUUUCUCAUCUGAUGCUCAAACAAUGUGACAAUUUGGUGAAAUAUAAAAGACUUUGUGUAGAGAGGGUAACCAUACCAGUUCUCUUACCUU